rnacentral:rRNA from 1 species
CCAUAGAGGGGGACAACUCCGGGAAACCGAAGCUAAUACCGAAUAAUAUUUCAAGAACGCAUAUUUUUGAAAUCAAAGGAGGCCUCUCUAUAGAAGCUUCUGCCCAUGGAUGGAUCCGCGUCUGAUUAGCUAGUUGGUGGGGUAAUGGCCUACCAAGGCGACGAUCAAUAGCCGGCCUGAGAGGGUGAACGGCCACACUGGGACUGAGACACGGCCCAGACUCCUACGGGAGGCAGCAGUGGGGAAUCUUCCGCAAUGGGCGAAAGCCUGACGGAGCAAUGCCGCGUGAAUGAAGAAGGCCUUCGGGUUGUAAAGUUCUGUUGAGAAGGAAGAAAGAUCUAAGAGCUAAUACCUCUUAAGUUUGACGGUACUUUUCGAGGAAGCCCCGGCUAACUACGUGCCAGCAGCCGCGGUAAUACGUAGGGGGCAAGCGUUGUCCGAAAUCACUGGGCGUAAAGCGCAUGUAGGCGGGAUAUUAAGUCAGGUGUGAAAACUACAGGCUCAACCUGUAGAUUGCAUUUGAAACUGGUAUUCUUGAGUAUUGGAGAGGAAAGUGGAAUUCCUAGUGUAGCGGUGAAAUGCGUAGAUAUUAGGAGGAACACCAGUGGCGAAGGCGACUUUCUG